AGGGCUCCUUGGGCUCUUCCCUUGCUGAUCGGAGACAGGGGUUCAGCAGGCUGCCCACAGCUGGCUGGGCUAGGGAGUCCGCAGCACCCAUUGCUCCCCCCCUCACACCAAUUGAAAGGUGAUUUAUCUGAUGGGUCUGUGACAGCAGGAGAUCAGACAGACUUUGAGCCCUUGCAUUGCAGUGGAAGGUGUGUGGAAAGCUAGAUACUAUGGAUGAAUUGACAUUUUCUGAAGGGGAAAACACAUUGUCAGAAAACUUCUAAUUAUCUAAAGGAGAAAAAAAACCACUGAAGAGAAAGGGAGACUUGGCACAUAUGAAUUAAAGUGGAAUGGAGGACGCUGGGAAUGAACAAGAAGAAAGAUGUAGAGAACAUGAAGUUGGUGCUCUUAAGUUUUCCCAGUCCAAUCAGGGAGUCCAGUAGUUGGACCAUGACUGUCAUCCUAAAUGAUGUUUAGCAGUCUCUUGUUGUUCCUUAGUGGAUAAUGUCCAUAUCACAAGAACUGUUACCACACGAUCAUGUCAGAAGGCUUUUGCUGUUCUUCCUGUUAGUCAUGGAAGACAGACCAGAGCUGAAAGGUCACACAAGACCUAACAAAGUAUCCCUCCAUCUCUCUCCAGAAAUGCCUUAGCCAGCAAGUGAUACAAACACUAGAAGCUUAAACAAUUGCUGUCCUGUGUCAUACCUUUUCACUGAACAGACAAGUGGUUGGCUUCUCUAGCAACUGUACUCUGGAUGUUUUCAUAGCUUAGCAGUUUCUACUUCUGCAGCUCUUAGUGGAGUGGGAAAUGCAACGCACAAGGCCUUACGGAAGAACCCGUGGAGUUUCUGAGCGCAGGAUAGGCUGUGUUUGGGAAGAAUCUUCAGCUAAGAAGAGGUUUAAAACAGAGUUUUUGCUGUGAGCUCUGCCUCUGUGAUGACACUUAAAAUCCAGCUGUAGAGCGUGUUUCUGCUGCAGUACCAGAGUUUCACAGGCUUCCUUCUUAUGCUGUGGAGCUCAUCGCAGUCAACAUCUGGCAGCUGGCUGGGAAGCCCAUAUUUUUAUUUUUUUUCAGGGGAUGAGAGCUGUUCUGAAAUUUCUGGCUAGAUAUACUGAAAUAUGCAUCAUUUGGCACAGACAUUACUGAUGCAGCUGUACCAUAUUCAAAAAAGUGAUUCAGAAGCAAAACAGGUCACUUGUCUUGAAUCCUGCAAAUCCAAGUCUUAAUGUGUGUAAGAACAGCAAUGUCUGGGAUGAAGCUGCUCAUGUGGCCAAGCAGAGCUUCCCUGAGCCUCUCUUUAAUGGUGUGAGGGCAAAAGAGCUCUGGGCUUUCACAAACAGCUGGUAAAAUAUUAUCCCUGAGAACACAAUCUGGCAGAACCUUCCCUACUAAUUUUGUCAAGGUAAAUGAUACAAGCCUUCUGAUAGGAGUGAGUGAUCUGGGGUCAAGGGGUUCUUGUUUUCUCUGUCUACCAAUUUAUUUAGCAAACAACUGUUGUCAUCACUUCUGAAUUAACUGCAUGCAAUUCACUCUGUUCAGGGAGUUAAAUCUCCUGCUACAACUUUAUCCCUCUGUAAUGGAAAAAGCUGAAAGAUGUGUUUAUUGUUCUUUCCUCAGGUAGCUAAAGAGUUCAGGCAAGAGAGCAGAGAGGGCAACAUCUCAUAGGCCUUUUAUUACAUACUACAAUAGCUUUUACUUCCCAACUGCCUUGAGCAGGAAUUGAAUUCUAUAAAAUGUUAAAGCAUCAUUUACUUAAGUGUCCCCCUGAAAAAACUAUGUGGUUGCACAGUAAGAUGACUAUAUAUCUACCUAACAUCUGGCAAAUCACUGUGUUAUGAUAUGUAAAUAUUGGGAGGGUGUCCAAUAGACUGUCUCUCCAUACAUCAGUUACUUCCAGAACUUAGACAACUAUGUACCUCCAGAGUGUAAGAUCAAAGUAAAGCUUGAAAUGUAGUGAGGAGAUUAAUGAUGUAACCAGACACUACCUGUGCUCAGGAUAGGCAAUAAUGGGUUUCAAAUU